UACGUAGGGGGCAAGCGUUGUCCGGAAUCAUUGGGCGUAAAGAGCGUGUAGGCGGCUCGAUAAGUCUGCUGUGAAAGUCCAGGGCUCAACCCUGGAAGGCCGGUGGAAACUGUCGGGCUAGAGUCCGGAAGAGGCGAGUGGAAUUCCCGGUGUAGCGGUGAAAUGCGCAGAUAUCGGGAGGAACACCAGUGGCGAAGGCGGCUAACUGGUCCGGUUCUGACGCUGAGGCGCGAAAGCGUGGGGAGCAAACAGG
rnacentral:rRNA from 1 species